CACGUAGGGGGCGAGCGUUGUCCGGAAUUAUUGGGCGUAAAGAGCUCGUAGGCGGUCUGUUGCGUCGGCUGUGAAAACCCGGGGCUCAACCCCGGGCCUGCAGCCGAUACGGGCAGACUAGAGUUCGGCAGGGGAGACUGGAAUUCCUGGUGUAGCGGUGAAAUGCGCAGAUAUCAGGAGGAACACCGGUGGCGAAGGCGGGUCUCUGGGCCGAUACUGACGCUGAGGAGCGAAAGCGUGGGGAGCGAACAGG
rnacentral:rRNA from 1 species